UCUCCGUAGGUGCACCUGCGGAGAGCUCAUUACUGAGUGAGGGCUUCGGUCCGACCUCCAACCCUUUUUGAACCAAACUUGUUUCUUCGGGGGCGACCCUGCCGCUUCGGCGGUGCGGCGCCCCCGGAGGCCAUUAAACACUGCAUCAUUGCGUCGGAGUUAAAGUAAAUUAAACAAAACUUUCAACAACGGAUCUCUUGGUUCCAGCAUCGAUGCAGAACGCAGC
rnacentral:misc_RNA from 1 species